UACGGAGGGUGCGAGCGUUGUCCGGAAUCACUGGGCGUAAAGGGCGCGUAGGCGGCUCGGUAAGCGUGCGGUGAAAGCCUGGGCUCAACCCCGGGUCGGCCGUGCGAACUGUCGAGCUGGAGCACUGUAGAGGCAGGCGGAAUUCCGGGUGUAGCGGUGGAAUGCGUAGAGAUCCGGAAGAACACCGGUGGCGAAGGCGGCCUGCUGGGCAAUAGCUGACGCUGAGGCGCGACAGCGUGGGGAGCAAACAGG
rnacentral:rRNA from 1 species